rnacentral:rRNA from 1 species
UACGUAGGGUGCAAGCGUUGUCCGGAAUUAUUGGGCGUAAAGAGCUCGUAGGCGGUCUGUCGCGUCUGCUGUGAAACUCAGGGCUUAACCCUGAGCUUGCAGUGGGUACGGGCAGACUAGAGUGCGGUAGGGGAGACUGGAAUUCCUGGUGUAGCGGUGAAAUGCGCAGAUAGUCGGGAGGAACACCGAUUGCGAAGGCAGCUCGCUGGACGUAACUGACGCUGAGACGGCGAAAGCGUGGGAGCAAACAGG